GGAAAGACAUAAAUAAAUAUAAGAUAUUCUUAUAUUUAUAAUUUUAUUUGUCUGUUUAGCAGUCAGUUGAUAUUAGUAUAACAUUUAACUUUAUUUGGACUUUCUGAUCAAUUCUAUUGGGCUUAUGCAAUGGUGCAUGCACCAUUUUCAAUUGUGGAUUUAGGAUCCUCUCAUGGUAAAAUUAAUAUUAUUAUAUGCCAUAAUCAAUCCAAAUUGUUGAAUCCAGAAAAAAAAAAUAGAUUACUAUAAAGCAUCAUGCAUUUUAUUUUUUUGAAUCCAAAAUGUUCACUAAAAUUUGCAGAUGAGCUUUGAAACAUUUGAAGGACAAAAAAU
rnacentral:misc_RNA from 1 species